rnacentral:rRNA from 1 species
AGAACGAACGCUGGCGGCAUGCCUAAUACAUGCAAGUCGAACGAACACUUCGGUGUUAGUGGCGCACGGGUGCGUAACGCGUGGGAAUCUGCCCUUGGGUUCGGAAUAACAGUUGGAAACGACUGCUAAUACCGGAUGAUAUCGAAAGAUCAAAGAUUUAUCGCCCAGGGAUGAGCCCGCGUAGGAUUAGCUAGUUGGUGAGGUAAAGGCUCACCAAGGCGACGAUCCUUAGCUGGUCUGAGAGGAUGAUCAGCCACACUGGGACUGAGACACGGCCCAGACUCCGUACGGGAGCAGCAGUAGGGAAUAUUGGACAAGUGGGCGCAAGCCUGAUCCAGCAAUGCCGCGUGAGUGAUGAAGGCCGUUAGGGUUAGUAAGUCUACUUUACCCGAG